rnacentral:rRNA from 1 species
CCUACGGGAGGCAGCAGUGGGGAAUAUUGCACAAUGGGGGAAACCCUGAUGCAGCGACGCCGCGUGAGUGAAGAAGGAUUUCGGUAUGUAAAGCUCUAUCAGCAGGGAAGAAAUAGCGCCCUUUGGGUCGCCAGACGGUACCUGAGUAAGAAACCACAGCUAACUACGUGCCAGCAGCCGCGGUAAUACGUAGGGGGCAGGCGUGAUUCGGAUUUCAUGGGGGUAAAGGGGGCGUAAGCGGCAGCGAAAGUCUGAAGGGAAAUGGCGGGGCUUAACCCCGGAACUGCUUUGGAAACUGUGUAGCUAGAGUGCAGGAGAGGUAAGUGGAAUGCCUAGUGUAGCGGUGAAAUGCGUAGAUAUUAGGAGGAACACCAGUGGCGAAGGCGGCUUACUGGACUGUAACUGACGUUGAGGCUCGAAAGCGUGGGGAGCAAACAGGAUUAGAUACCCUAGUAGUC